UACGUAGGGUGCGAGCGUUAAUCGGAAUUACUGGGCGUAAAGUGUGCGCAGGCGGCAGAGCAAGUCGAGUGUGAAAGCCCCGGGCUUAACUUGGGAAUUGCGCUCGAAACUACUUUGCUGGAGUGUGGCAGAGGAAGGUGGAAUUCCACGUGGUAGCGUGAAAUGCGUAGAGAUGUGGAGGAACACCAAUGGCGAAGGCAGCCAUUCUGGG
rnacentral:rRNA from 1 species